rnacentral:piRNA from 1 species
UACUCAGAGUGGAUCUGAGAGGUAUCUGC